AUGGGAAAGACUAGAGAUCUCUUCAAGAAAAUUAGAGAUACCAAGGGAACAUUUCAUGUAAAGAUAGGCUCGAUAAAGGACAGAAAUGGUAUGGACCUAACAGAAGCAGAAGAUAUUAAGAAGGGGUGGCAAGAAUACAUGGAAGAACUGUACAAAAAAGAUCUUCACGACCCAAAUAAUCACAAUGGUGUGACCACUAAUCUAGAGCCAGACGUCUUGGAAAGUGAAGUCAAGUGGGCCUUAGAAAGCAUCACUAUGAACAAAGCUAGUGGAGGUGAUGGAAUUCCAGUUGAGCUGUUUCAAAUCCUGAAAACUGAUGCUAUGAAAGUGCUGCACUCAAUAUGCCACCAAAUUUGGAAAACUCAGCAGUGGCCACAGGACUGGAAAAGGUCAGUUUUCAUUCCAAUCCCAAAGAAAGGCAAUGCCAGAGAAUGCUCAAACUACCGCACAAUUGCACUCAUCUCACAUGCUAGUAAAGUAAUGCUCAAAAUUCUCCAAGCCAGGCUUCAGCAAUACGUGAAAGAUGAAAUUCCUGAUGUUCAAGCUGGUUUUAGAAAAGGCAGAGGAACCAGAGAUCAAAUUGCCAACAUCCGCUGGAUCAUGGAAAAAACAAGAGAGUUCCAGAAAAACAUCUAUUUCUCCUUUAUUGACUAUGCCAAAGCCUUUGACUGUGUGGAUCAUAAGAAACUGUGGAAAAAUCUGAAAGAGAUGGGAAUACCAGACCACCUGACCUGCCUCUUGAGAAAUCUGUAUGCAGGUCAGGAAGCAACAGUUAGAACUGGACAUGGAACAACAGACUGGUUCCAAAUAGGAAAAGGAGUACGUCAAGGCUGCUUACUUAACUUCUAUGCAGAGUACAUCAUGAGAAACGCUGGACUGGAAGAAACACAAGCUGGAAUUAAGAUUGCCGGGAGAAAUAUCAAUAACCUCAGAUAUGCAGAUGACACCACCCUUAUGGCAGAAAGUGAAGAGGAGCUAAAAAGCCUCUUGACGAAAGUGAGAGAGGAGAGUGAAAAAGUUGGCUUAAAACUCAACAUUCAGAAAAUGAAGAUCAUGGCAUCCAGUCCCAUCACUUCAUGGGAACUAGAUGGAGAAACAGUGGAAACAGUGUCAGACUUUAUUUUUUUUGGCUCCAAAAUCACUGCAGAUGGUGAUUGCAGCCAUGAAAUUAAAAGAUGCUUACUCCUUGGAAGAAAAGUUAUGACCAACCUAGAUAGUAUAUUCAAAAGCAGAGACAUUACUUUGCCAACUAAGGUCUGUCUAGUCAAGGCUAUGGUUUUUCCUGUGGUCAUGUAUGGAUGUGAGAGUUGGACUGUGAAGAAGACUGAGCGCCGAAGAAUUGAUGCUUUUGAACUGUGGUGUUGGAGAAGACUCUUGAGAGUCCCUUGGACUGCAAGGAGAUCCAACCAGUCCAUUCUGAAGGAGAUCUACCCUGGGAUUUCUUUGGAAGGAAUGAUGCUGAAGCUGAAACUCCAGUACUUUGGCCACCUCAUGCGAAGAGUUGACUCAUUGGAAAAUACUCUGAUGCUGGGAGGGAUUGGGGGCAGAAAGAGAAGGGGACAACCGAGGAUGAGAUGGCUGGAUGGCAUCAUGGACUCGAUGGACGUGAGUCUGAGUGAACUCCGGGAGUUGCUGAUGGACAGGGAGGCCUGGUGA
rnacentral:lncRNA from 1 species